AAUCAACGCUGGCGGCGUGCCUAACACAUGCAAGUCGAACGCGAAAAUCCCGAAAGGGAUCAGUAGAGUGGCUAACGGGUGAGUAACACGUGGGUGACCUGCCUUCGAGUGGGGGAUAACGUCCCGAAAGGGACGCUAAUACCGCAUGACAUCCUGCUCUUGAACGAGUGGAGAUCAAAGCUGGGGAUCGCAAGACCUAGCGCUCAAAGAGGGGCCCGCGCCUGAUUAGCUAGUUGGUGGGGUAACGGCUCACCAAGGCAACGAUCAGUAUCCGGCCUGAGAGGGCGGACGGACACACUGGGACUGAGACACGGCCCAGACUCCUACGGGAGGCAGCAGUGGGAAUUGUUCGCAAUGGGCGCAAGCCUGAUCCAGCGAUGCCG
rnacentral:rRNA from 1 species